CGCGCAUCUCGGCCUUUUGGCUAAGAUCAAAGUGUAGUAUCUGUUCUUAUCAGCACCGCGCAGGGUUGCCAGGUUUGGCCUUUAAAGGCCAAAUGGGCCUUUUUGAGAGAAGGUUGGCCUCGGUUUUAUUUCCUGUUGAGGCCAACCUCAGUCUGGCCUUUUCGGGGCCUUUUUUGAGAUGCACGU